rnacentral:rRNA from 1 species
AGAGUUUGAUCAUGGCUCAGAACGAACGCUGGCGGCGUGGAUAAGACAUGCAAGUCGGACGAGAUUUUUCGUUGUAGCAAUACGAUGGAAAAUUUAGUGGCGAACGGGUGCUUAACACGUGGGCAACCUGCCAUGAAGUGGGGGAUAGCUCGCCGAAAGGCGAAUUAAUACCGCAUGUGAUUAGAGAGGACAUCCUUUCGAAAUUAAAGUCGGGGCAACCUGACGCUUCUUGUGGGGCCCGCGGCCUAUCAGCUAGUUGGUGAGGUAACGGCUCACCAAGGCUUUGACGGGUAGCUGGUCUGAGAGGACGACCAGCCACACUGGGACUGAGACACGGCCCAGACACCUACGGGUGGCAGCAGUCGAGAAUUUUUGACAAUGGGGGAAACCCUGAUCGAGCGACGCCGCGUGGAGGAUGAAGGUCUUCGGAUUGUAAACUCCUGUCAUUGGGGAACAAGGUGCAUACGUUAACUGCGUGCGCAUUGAUAGUACCCGAAGAGGAAGAGACGGCUAACUCUGUGCCAGCAGCCGCGGUAAUACAGAGGUCUCAAGCGUUGUUCGGAUUCAUUGGGCGUAAAGGGUGCGUAGGCGGCGCGGUAAGUCGGGUGUGAAAUCUCGGAGCUUAACUCCGAAACUGCAUUCGAUACUGCCGUGCUUGAGGACUGGAGAGGAGACUGGAAUUUACGGUGUAGCGGUGAAAUGCGUAGAUAUCGUAAGGAAGACCAGUGGCGAAAGCGGGUCUCUGGACAGUUCCUGACGCUGAGGCACGAAAGGUCAGGGGAGCAAACGGGAUUAGAUACCCCGGUAGUCCUGACAGUAAACGGUGCACGUUUGGUGUGGGAGGAUUCGACCCCUUCUGCGCCGGAGCUAACGCGUUAAACGUGCCGCCUGGGAGUACGGUCGCAAGAUUAAAACUCAAGAUUGACGGGGCCGCACAGCGUGGAGUAUGUGGCUCAUUCGAUGCAACGCGAAGAUCUU